rnacentral:rRNA from 1 species
ACGAACGCUGGCGGCGUGCUUAACACAUGCAAGUCGAACGGUGAUGAUGGGGCUUGCCCUGUAUGAUCAGUGGCGAACGGGUGAGUAACACGUGAGUAACCUGCCCCAGACUCUGGGAUAACCCCGGGAAACCGGAGCUAAUACCGGAUAUGACCCUCGUACGCAUGUGCAGGGGGUGGAAAGUUUUUCGGUCUGGGAUGGGCUCGCGGCCUAUCAGCUUGUUGGUGAGGUAGUGGCUCACCAAGGCGACGACGGGUAGCCGGCCUGAGAGGGCGACCGGCCACACUGGGACUGAGACACGGCCCAGACUCCUACGGGAGGCAGCAGUGGGGAAUAUUGCACAAUGGGCGGAAGCCUGAUGCAGCGACGCCGCGUGAGGGAUGACGGCCUUCGGGUUGUAAACCUCUUUCAGCAGGGAAGAAGCGCAAGUGACGGUACCUGCAGAAGAAGCACCGGCUAACUACGU